rnacentral:lncRNA from 1 species
AAAUUUCGACCUCUUGCACUGGUACAUUGCUAAUUUAGUGAUCAAUGACAGUGACGAUUCUUCUCAUGAUUCGCUCUGCUGAUUUGAUGCUUUAAUUAUCUAUAUGCUUCUGGAAAUUGUAUGCGUUGUUUGUCAACAGUUGACAUUUAGAUGGCAGAGGUAGUAUAGAUGCUUUCUAGGUUGAAGUUUAUUUUCCACCGAAUUAAUGCGGUUGAUUUUCUCCAAAAUGAAAAAUAAAAAUUAUCUGCGGACUUUAGAUACGCCUGCAGACGUCCCGAUCUGUCUGUGCAAGGUGUUUAUUGAGAUUUAUUGCCUGAGAAGGUAGUAAUAAUGAUAUUUCUAGAUGAUUCUUAAUUAGAAGUUUGACAAUUUGCUAUAAGUGAAACUUAUCAAAUCUUGUGGGAGUGUUAGUGCAAUAGUAAGGACAUUGUAUGUAUUUUGGAAUCACGAAGCAUGCAAAAUUUCGAAAAGAUAAGUUAUAGUAGCAUUUUAUUGAUUAGGACAGAAGAUGAACUCCAGAGAAGUGUUUUCAGUGUUAAAAUUAGUUAUAUUUCUAUUUUCUUGUCUAUGUGGAUAAGUUGAUUAAGGAGAAACAAUAAGUUACAAAAAAAAAGUGUUUCUGGAAAGGGGAAGCUCACAAGUCAUUUGCAAUUGCAACCUAGUUUGGAGCAGUGGUAGCUCGACCAAAAUAAAGAAAAUACUCUAGAUACAAAAUGAACCUUUCCACUUAGAUAGGUGUGAGGAAAAAAGGCUUUUGAUCAAAUACAUCUAUCCUCAUUGAGAGGAGCUGGAAACCCGAAGAUGGAAGAAUUCAUUUGAAGUCAUUAUAAUGCACUUACUUAACAAAGAGCGGUGUAGGUUUCAGAGAAUGGAAAAAAAGAAAAGAAAAAGAAGAUCAAAUAGACAUGGAAUAACCUGUGGAGGCUUUCCUCCCAUCGUUAUUCUCCAAAAUUGCCUCUAUGUUGACUGAUUGAGACUUGACUUGGGAUAGCAGAAAACCAUAUUUAUCCCAAAUCCUUUUACCUCAUUUGUGUUUUGAACUUGAGCUGGUAUAAGAAGUGAACAUAAAGACAUGCCUUUUGAUGAAAAAAACCUGAGGUGGAUCUGGAUUCUUAAUCUGAUAAAGACAGACCUGCUUGUCAAUCUGCAAAUUCAUUGAGAGAUGGUGCAAUAAGCAAAAGGGUUGGUGUAGUUUUGCAAAUGUAUUAAACUAGAGAUAUCAGUAGCUACUAUUACUAUUACUAUACAACACGUUUUAUAAACUAACUCUGUAUAAGUUAUUGUUGCAGAUAUGGUUUGAUUCGAUCAUUGAUUAUUAGGGAUUUUUUAUCCAUUAUAAUAUGCUAUACAGAUAAGCAAACCUUACAGUAACGAUAAUGGGAAGAAGGAUCCAUCAAGUCUUCAACAUGCCAACCGGGGAGAGUCUCCAUUAAGUACUCCGAUAUGCUACUGGUCGAGUCUGAAGCUUGCUCACCGGUGGGCAGGCUCGACUCAUUCUCCCUCGUAGGGUUUGAUGAUGUCUCUGAACAAUUUGCAUUAUUUGAGUUUGCAUUAGCGACUGAAGUUCUGAACUCUAUUCCAGAUUGUGAACCACUGGAUGACGUAGCACCUUGAUACGAAGAAAUGGCUGCAGAAAGCUUGACCCCAGUUAGAAGAAACCUAUUAUGUUUCUUGGUGAGUUCGUUGGCCUUGUGUAUUGGUACAUCACAUUCUCGACAAAGUAAAGCCCUGUCUUCUUGACAAAACAGUAACGCUUGUCUUUCCUGUACAAGUAUAUAUGAUUCCGUUACUCAAAUUAUCAGUUUGUUGUAAAAGAUUGUGCUCUUUUUGAAAAUCUCAACAUUGAAGUGGUGAUUCGAAACGAGUUAAUGACAAUGUAUGUUUAUAAACCUGGCAAAUGUCGCAGCGUGGAGAUUCUUUCAACUGAGGAUUAAGAAGAGAGAAACGAGGAUGCUUGCUCGCGAGCUUAUUGGCGUUAUGAACUCGGUCGUCGCAAUUCUGGCAGAGGGCGGCUUCAUCGGCUGUGCAGAAUACGGCUGCUGCUUCUUUCCCACAAACGUCGCAUUGAAUCUUCAUUU